rnacentral:rRNA from 1 species
AGCAGCCGCGGUAAUUCCAGCUCCAAUAGCGUAUAUUAAAGUUGUUGCAGUUAAAAGCUCGUAGUUGAAUUUCGGGAUCAAAUUGUUGGUCGUGCCUCGGUACGUACUGGCAUUAUUGAUUUCUCCCUUCUGACGAUCCGCGAUGUCAUUAAUUUGGUGUCGCGGGGAAUCAGGACUGUUACUUUGAAAAAUUAGAGUGUUUAAAGCAGGCUCACGCUUGAAUACAUUAGCAUGGAAUAAUGAAAUAGGACGUUUGAUUCUAUUUUGUUGGUUUCUAGGAUCGACGUAAUGAUUAAUAGGGAUAGUUGGGGGCAUUAGUAUUCAAUUGUCAGAGGUGAAAUUUCUUGGAUUUAUUGAAGACUAACUACUGCGUAAGCAUUUGCCAAGGAUGUUUUCAUUAAUCAAGAACGAAGUUAGGGGAUCGAAGACGAUCAGAUACCGUCGUAGUCUUAACCAUAAACUAUGCCGCUAGGGAUCGGAUGAUGUUAAUUUUUUAAUGUCUA